rnacentral:misc_RNA from 1 species
CUAGCAGUCACUGGUUCUGCUAGAGCUUUGUCUGCACUCGAUUCCCAUUUUUCCUCUUUGCUUUGUUCAAUAGGGAAAAGAAAGGAAGGAACAGAGAGGAAGAGGGAGAGAUCGAGAUGGGUCAUCAUCUUCUUCACUUGAACCUUACAACUAUCUCUCCUUCUGCUUCUUUCAAAUCUUCUAAUUCAUUGUUUCCAUGUAAUCAUCCCCAAAUUCCCACCAAUUCUUUUCACUUGCCCUCUCUCUCGAAGUCAUCAGUCCAUAAAAUCUCUUGGAUCCAAAAGCUGC